rnacentral:rRNA from 1 species
CCUACGGGAGGCAGCAGUGAGGAAUAUUGGUCAAUGGGCGUAAGCCUGAACCAGCCAAGUCGCGUGAGGGAUGAAGGUUCUAUGGAUCGUAAACCUCUUUUAUAAGGGAAUAAAGUGCGGUACGUGUCUCGUUUUGUAUGUACCUUAUGAAUAAGGAACGGCUAACUCCGUGCCAGCCGCCGCGGUAAUACGGAGGAUUCGAGCGUUACCCGGUUUUAUUGGGUUUAAAGGGUGCGUAGGCGGCCUGUUAAGUUAGCGGUGAAAGUCUGUGGCUCAACCAUAGAAGUGCCGUUGAAACUGGGAGGCUUGAGUGUGUGUGAGGCAGGCGGAAUGCGUGGUGUAGCGGUGAAAUGCUUAGAUAUCACGCAGAACCCCGAUUGCGAAGGCAGCCUGCCAAGCCAUGACUGACGCUGAUGCACGAAAGCGUGGGGAUCAAACAGGAUUAGAUACCCUUGUAGUC